rnacentral:lncRNA from 1 species
GAACGGCACCGUCUCUCCGCUUUGCCAUCGCACCAACUUUCCGUCGGUGAAGUUGUUUGCAGAGUGCAAAAUCAUCUCCGGGGAACGGAACCGAAUCAGAUCGCAUCAUCGGCUUAAAUUCAAUUGGGGACAAAGACUCGUUCGCUUCCAGAUUCCGCCAUUCCACCUUGCCCGCAAGAUCUCUCUCUCUCUCAACCCCGCACCAGUGAAGAGGUAGGCAAUUUGAUUUCGAAAUUUUCAUAGGUAUAUGAAUGCGCAGUUUAUAUAUUCGAACCAAUCUUUCUUUAGUUCACUCAAUUGCAAUUUGGAUCUUCUUUUUUCCCAUUCAAGUCUUUAACAGUAUCGAUUGUCUUGAAGAAACAAUCACCAUUGAUUGAUUAGUGUUUUAUUCAUCAACGUGUUGAAGAACGGCUUUCCGUGUUGGGUUGGAUCGUUUGAUUCUGUAUUGGCUAAAUUCAUUAGUUCUUUAGCUUCCGUUAGCAAUUGUUCAUUUUGUAAGUUUCGUUAUUCGAAUCUUUGUUUAUUUACUUCAUUCAAAUGCCAUUCGGAUCUUCUUUUUCCCUUUCAUGUCUGUUUCAGCGUCGACUGUCUGGAAGAAAUGAUAAUCACCAUUGCUUGAGUAGUAUUUUGUUCACCCGUGUGUUAAAAGAACAGCUCUUCGUCGUUGUUUGGAUCAUUUGAUUCAUUAUCGGGGUUAAUUCAUUAGUUCUUUAACUUCUGUUAACUAUUGUUCAUUUUUGUUGAUUUUGUAAGUUUCGUUAUUUGUGCAAAUUCAUUGGUCCUGUAACGUUUGUUUAUUUGUGUUG